CGUGUAGGCGGCUUUUUAAGUUGGCAGUGAAAGGUUCCGGCUCAACUGGGAUUCGCCUGUCAAUACUGAAGAGCUUGAGGGCACCAGAGGAAAGUGGAACUCGCGGUGUAGCGGUGAAAUGUGUAGAUAUCGCGAGGAACACCAGUGGCGAAGGCGGCUUUCUGGGGUGUUCCUGACGCUGAGGCGCGAAAGCGUGGGGAGCGAAGCGGAUUAGAUACCCGCGUAGUCCACGCCCUAAACGGUGGAUACUUGGUAUGGGGGGUAUCGACCCCCUCCGUGCCGAAGCUAACGCUUUAAGUAUCCCGCCUGGGAACUACGGUCGCAAGACUAAA
rnacentral:rRNA from 1 species